AAGUAAGUGACAGAGUGGGUUUGUGGUUGAUUUGAAAUCAAUUUAUGAGGGUUCAACUCCUUCCUUACUUG
rnacentral:tRNA from 2 species